rnacentral:rRNA from 1 species
UACGUAGGCAGCAAGCGUUGUUCGGAGUUACUGGGCGUAAAGGGUGUGUAGGCGGUUGUUUAAGUUUGGUGUGAAAUCUCCCGGCUCAACUGGGAGGGUGCGCCGAAUACUGAAUGACUCGAGUGCGGGAGAGGAAAGUGGAAUUCCUGGUGUAGCGGUGAAAUGCGUAGAUAUCAGGAGGAACACCGGUGGUGUAGACGGCUUUCUGGACCGUAACUGACGCUGAAACACGAAAGCGUGGGUAGCAAACAGG